UGGUGGAGUGAUUUGUCUGCUUAAUUGCGAUAACGAACGAGACCUUGACCUGCUAAAUAGCCAGGCUAGCUUUGGCUGGUCGCCGGCUUCUUAGAGGGACUUUCGGCUCAAGCCGAAGGAAGUUCGAGGCAAUAACA
rnacentral:rRNA from 1 species